CUCAAUGUUGCUGCUUAAUCAAAAGCCGAAUGCGCGAAUUUUAUUUCGCACUGCCACAAAGUCGACGCUGCUGUCGCUGCCGCUGCCUCUGCCAGCGUCGUCAGCUGUCUAUGUGUCUGCAACACACACACACACACACACAUACACAAACAUACGAAAGCAGCAGCCGUAUGUGUUGCUGUUUCUUUCGCUUCCUGCUUCCUACACCGCGCUUUCCGCUCACCAAUACAUAUGCACACGCAUACAUUGCAUGUACUUUUUGCCCAGUUCUCACUCACGGGUUCCUUUGUUAUAAAACUGGCAGGCACCACCAGCCAACUGACUGCAACAAAAAGCACGCACAGUGGGCCCUAUAAGAAUGUUUUUAGUUUCGAUGAAAUCAUAAAUUGAUUAUCUUCCCUUAAAUUCUAUCGUUAAACUUUUACCAUUAUUGUUGUUAACAAAACAAGUGAAGCUUUAACAAAAAGCUUUCCAAUUAAUUAUAUGUAACCAGCACUGUAAUUUUUGCAAUCCUGUUAUUUUGUUGUUGAACUUUUUCCCCAUUAUAUACGACUCUCUUAUUGACAUUUCCAUACAUGUGUUCAUAUAUCUUAAUAUAAACAUUUGCAAUAACAACUGUGAGCGGCGAUUCUAUAUUGCCUAUCUUAAUUUACAAACAGAUGUUUAAUAUAAACAUUCAGAUAUAAUCGUCAAAAUGCAGCCCAUGCUCAUUAGCUCACAAGCGCCAUAUGUACUUAACGGUACUUGUCCUACAUACACAAACCUGAAAAGCAGCAGAUAAAUUAUAUAAUAUACAGCGUUAUAUGAUGGGUUGCUUAAUCGCCAGUUAUUAUUUGCAUUUCACGAAUUAAGCAAUGCUCUAAUGAGUCAAUAUAAAUGCAAGCAAGUAUUUUAUCUGGAUUUCUAAAAUAAAUUCGGACAGAUUAA